GAAAAUUCUAUGUUUGUAUAAGAGAGUUGUUGAGAGAAAAUAGCUAUAUUGUAUGAAAUAUAUGUUGUGAGAUUUAUGAAAUUUUAUUUAUUUGAGUGAAAAAGUGAUAUUUUAUCACAACUUCUACCCAUCACAUACACAACACAAUUUCAAUUUUUCUUGUAUUUAUCGAGAAACAAGUAGUUUGAAGUAGUAUGGAAUCAUUCCUAAUGGUAAGGUGCAUGUACAAGGCGAAAUGAGAUGCGGUAAAAUUUCACCAAAAUCAUCACCAGUUGUAUGCAACAAGAGAUGCCGAAUUUUCCCAUGUGAAUCUUUCACUAUUAACUUCCAUUUUCCUUGAACCGUUGAGCCAAAAGGUUGUAGAACUAAGGUCUUAUAUGACUGAGUUUUGAAUUUAUCAUAUAAGAUUGUAGUACUUGUGACUUUGAAGGCUAGGUUUCAUCGGAUUCUCAAGUCCCCAGAUGUAAGAUCUAUGUCCUAGGAGGAAUGCAUUCCUAGUCAAUGUUGCAUCUUAAUCUCUUUUAAUUUAAUUCUCUUCUAGUAAGUAUUACUUAUCACUUUUGAAGUGUUAAACUUCUAAUUACAAAUGGAUCAAAUGUUUGUUUUAUCAUAAGUUUUUAUUGUAGGGAUGAUUUGAUCAAACAGUAAAAAAAGUAAGAGAGAGUGUGUGUGUGUGUGUG
rnacentral:lncRNA from 1 species